rnacentral:rRNA from 1 species
CACGUAGGGCGCAAGCGUUGUCCGGAAUUAUUGGGCGUAAAGAGCUCGUAGGCGGUCUGUUACGUCUGCUGUGAAAACCCAGGGCUUAACCCUGGGCUUGCAGUGGAUACGGGCAGACUAGAGGCAGGUAGGGGAGAAUGGAAUUCCCGGUGUAGCGGUGAAAUGCGCAGAUAUCGGGAGGAACACCGGUGGCGAAGGCGGUUCUCUGGGCAUUACCUGACGCUGAGGAGCGAAAGUGUGGGGAGCGAACAGG